rnacentral:rRNA from 1 species
CCUACGGGAGGCAGCAGUGGGGAAUAUUGGACAAUGGGCGAAAGCCUGAUCCAGCCAUGGCCGCGUGAGUGAUGAAGGCCCUAGGGUUGUAAAGCUCUUUUACCUGGGAAGAUAAUGACGGUACCAGGAGAAUAAGCCCCGGCUAACUUCGUGCCAGCAGCCGCGGUAAU